UUUGGCUUGCCAUAAACACACACUUACACACACAUACAUGCAAUCAACUACACUUGACUAGUCAAAAAGGUCUAUGACAAAUACAAAUAAUCCAAAUUGCAUUUUGCAUGGGGUUAAUGCUCACAUUGAGGUUUAACGCGCAAUAUACUUUUGAAUAGAUAUUUCAGACAUCAAACCCGGAUACGCAGUUGAGCUCAUCAAGGCUGCAUCUGUUUUCCAGCAAGGAUUACCCUGCUAUAUCUUGUAGUCCUCGGAUGACCUUGAACUGGAAACAGAUGAAUGUCGAGAAUAAUUUGUGGAAAUGUGGCUGAUAGAUGGCGUUCGCUUGCUGGCCCACCGACUAUUCAGUGAAGGAAGGGAGAAGUCUCGUCAGAGACUCCGAUCUGGUGUGUCACACGUGGGUCGCCUCGUCUAAGUCCGCCAUGAAAAGAAAAAGAUAACCGCGUAUCCACCUAAAUCCAGCCCGUCAUCGUCUCAUCGUCGUCUUCGUUUCAUCGUCUCAUCGUCGUCUUCGUUUCAUCGUCUCAACGCCGCCUUCGUCUCUUUGUUUCAUUUUCCACCUCGUCUGGAAAAUGGCUUCUUUAAACCCAGCAAACAGUAUCUUGCCAGUUGCGUUUAUCUCACGCAAACCUUGGCAGUUGAAUAUAUAAACAGUGGACUUCCCUCUAAGACAGUACCGCAUUCCAGCGUUUACCAGCGAACGUAGCAGACAUGUCGCGCAGUCACUUUUUCUUGGUCGCUUUGUUCCUCGCUGUGCUAGUGGCGUAUUGCUCCGCCAUACCAGUUGAAGUCGAAGAGUCUGCAGUUUCCGCCGUAGUCUCAACAGAUCCAACAGUUGAAAAUGCAAGACCUAAACGACAGUUUCUUGCUGGACUCUUGAUAGGAAAAGCUCUUGGAGCUGGAUACGGUUAUGGAUUAGGUCGUUCAGCUUACUAUGGCGGAUAUGGAUACUCCUAUCGUGGCUAGCGGCUACCCUGGUCCUUACGGCGAUUACGGAUACGGAGGCUACCAUUACUGGUAUGUAUUUCAACAUUUGCUUUUCGAAAUAAACGAGCUGAUUUACAGGAUCGAAUAAUUCCGAGCCAGUGCCAUUUUACAACGUUACUGCAUUCAACAUUUCCCACAGAGCGACUGGAAUGAACGGACAGAAUAAAUUUGUUAUCAGCACCUCCAUAUAAGGAAAAUUUAACAUUUCUCCAAGACUUGCUAUUGUAAAACGUGCGUGAAUAGACCUGAUGCAUGACGUCUGAAAAAACUAGGAUCCGCUCUUGGAGACCGUUUGUCACUUUUUUCACGGCCAUCCUGCGGUCAUCACUUCCACAUACGUAGGCGCCAUGUGUGAUACGACGUCCCAGGACCAAUGAGCUCCAUGAGCGUCACAACAACACCACAUCAAGUAAAAAACAUACAUUCUUAUAAAAUAUCGAGAGCAGUGCAUUUCUGUCAGCCGCGUUCUAGUGCCGGAUGAAAAAAACUGCAUUUACCUGCGGCUCCGAAAAACCUUUGAUACACCAGCACACGAAAUAAUAAAAAAAAAUAUGGAUUUUCUUUCAAGUUGAUUUGAAAGACUAAAUUGAACAAAAGAAAAAAUGUCAGUGGCAUGUCAAUGACUUUCGUGACAAGUUCGACCUGUUCCCUUUUAGGCAUUGCAGCUGGUAAAAUGGCAUCAGAGGUGAUGCUUUCGCGUCUUAUUCCUUGUUGGGUUUCGACCCUCCUUCCAGCAGAACGAUAUGAGUCGCCUGGUAUUCGUACUCAGGUAAAUUCUAUUAGUUUGGUGAAAUUGUAAAUCUUGCGUGGUUCUCUUGGUGAUGGUGGCCGUGAUCUUUGCUAAUGAUCUAAGGGAGGACACUCGCCUAAAGAGACAAUUUGGCGGCGCGCAUGGAUUGUUAAACGGGUUUUUGUAUGGAUACGGUUAUCCUGGAUACGAAUAUGGACGCUAUUCGUAUUACGGCUAUCAGUAACCUUACGUUAGACAUAGACCAGCUUAUGGGUAGGCGAUCUUUGAACGACAUUUUUAGUGUAAAUAUUGACAGGAAUCCAAACGAUUUUUGUUUUUUAACGCGCACAUAGACCAUACGAUUAUUAUGGUCAUCGUUGGAAUGAAUACAGAUUGUGAAAUUCUUAAAAGAAAAUUACUGCACACACGACGAGGAACUAUUUUUAUGAAAAAGAGGUAAAAGUGGAUUAAUUAUGCUUAGCUUGUUUUGGUGAUGGUUCAGAUUUAAAUGUUGAGCAUGGAUGUUGAUUAAUACUGUAAUAGAAUAAAUGAAAUUUUGAAGUA